CGUGUCGCGCAUAUCUGCAUAUCAAUAAGCGGAGGAAAAGAAACUAACAAGGAUUCCCUUAGUAACGGCGAGUGAAGCGGGAAGAGCUCAGAUUUGAAAUCUUCAAGGUUCUACCUUGACGAAUUGUAGUUUAAAGAAGUGUUUUCUGUUAGAUGAGUAGCAAAAGUUCCUUGGAAUGGGACAUCAUAGAGGGUGAGAAUCCCGUAUUUGGUUAUUCAUUCUAGCUUUGUGAUACACUUUCAAAGAGUCGGAUUGUUUGGGAAUGCAGUCCAAAAUGGGUGGUAAAUUUCAUCUAAAGCUAAAUAUUGGCGAGAGACCGAUAGCGAACAAGUACCGUGAGGGAAAGAUGAAAAGAACUUUGAAAAGAGAGUUAAACAGUACGUGAAAUUGUCAAAAUGGGAAGCGUUUGACACCAGUGUUGUUUUUCCGAAAAUCAAUUACGAAUGGCUUGAUUUUGUGUUGUAUUGACCUUAUCAGCUUUCUGCACUUUUUUCGAGUCUUUCUUAAUGCACUUUUCGGUUAACAAGUCAACAUCAAUUUCUUUUGUUGUAAAAGAGUAUUCGGAAGGUGGCCUUCUUUUCGGAGAAAGUGUUUAUAGCCCUAUACUUCUACAAUCGGAGAGAUUGAGGUCUGCAGCGUAGAUCCUUCGGGGUUAGAUACACUUGUGCUAAGUUGUAGCUUUUCAUAGACAACUUGUUGACUAUGUUUAGUCAUGCGGCUUACUCGCUUGUGCUAUUUUACCUACGCUUAGGAUGUUGACGAUCAGCUGAGCGCG
rnacentral:rRNA from 1 species